AAAUUGAAGAGUUUGAUCAUGGCUCAGAUUGAACGCUGGCGGCAGGCCUAACACAUGCAAGUCGAGCGGAAACGAGUUAACUGAACCUUCGGGGGACGUUAACGGCGUCGAGCGGCGGACGGGUGAGUAAUGCCUAGGAAAUUGCCCUGAUGUGGGGGAUAACCAUUGGAAACGAUGGCUAAUACCGCAUGAUGCCUACGGGCCAAAGAGGGGGACCUUCGGGCCUCUCGCGUCAGGAUAUGCCUAGGUGGGAUUAGCUAGUUGGUGAGGUAAGGGCUCACCAAGGCGACGAUCCCUAGCUGGUCUGAGAGGAUGAUCAGCCACACUGGAACUGAGACACGGUCCAGACUCCUACGGGAGGCAGCAGUGGGGAAUAUUGCACAAUGGGCGCAAGCCUGAUGCAGCCAUGCCGCGUGUGUGAAGAAGGCCUUCGGGUUGUAAAGCACUUUCAGUCGUGAGGAAGGUAGUGUAGUUAAUAGCUGCAUUAUUUGACGUUAGCGACAGAAGAAGCACCGGCUAACUCCGUGCCAGCAGCCGCGGUAAUACGGAGGGUGCGAGCGUUAAUCGGAAUUACUGGGCGUAAAGCGCAUGCAGGUGGUUUGUUAAGUCAGAUGUGAAAGCCCGGGGCUCAACCUCGGAAUAGCAUUUGAAACUGGCAGACUAGAGUACUGUAGAGGGGGGUAGAAUUUCAGGUGUAGCGGUGAAAUGCGUAGAGAUCUGAAGGAAUACCGGUGGCGAAGGCGGCCCCCUGGACAGAUACUGACACUCAGAUGCGAAAGCGUGGGGAGCAAACAGGAUUAGAUACCCUGGUAGUCCACGCCGUAAACGAUGUCUACUUGGAGGUUGUGGCCUUGAGCCGUGGCUUUCGGAGCUAACGCGUUAAGUAGACCGCCUGGGGAGUACGGUCGCAAGAUUAAAACUCAAAUGAAUUGACGGGGGCCCGCACAAGCGGUGGAGCAUGUGGUUUAAUUCGAUGCAACGCGAAGAACCUUACCUACUCUUGACAUCCAGAGAAUUUUCCAGAGAUGGAUUAGUGCCUUCGGGAACUCUGAGACAGGUGCUGCAUGGCUGUCGUCAGCUCGUGUUGUGAAAUGUUGGGUUAAGUCCCGCAACGAGCGCAACCCUUAUCCUUGUUUGCCAGCGAGUAAUGUCGGGAACUCCAGGGAGACUGCCGGUGAUAAACCGGAGGAAGGUGGGGACGACGUCAAGUCAUCAUGGCCCUUACGAGUAGGGCUACACACGUGCUACAAUGGCGCAUACAGAGGGCGGCCAACUUGCGAAAGUGAGCGAAUCCCAAAAAGUGCGUCGUAGUCCGGAUUGGAGUCUGCAACUCGACUCCAUGAAGUCGGAAUCGCUAGUAAUCGUGGAUCAGAAUGCCACGGUGAAUACGUUCCCGGGCCUUGUACACACCGCCCGUCACACCAUGGGAGUGGGCUGCAAAAGAAGUAGGUAGUUUAACCUUCGGGGGGACGCUUACCACUUUGUGGUUCAUGACUGGGGUGAAGUCGUAACAAGGUAGCGCUAGGGGAACCUGGCGCUGGAUCACCUCCUUAUACGAUGAU
rnacentral:rRNA from 1 species